UUGUUGUGGUUGGUACAGACUGUGU
rnacentral:misc_RNA from 1 species